UGUGGCCAAGCUACUAAGGGCCAGCGGUGGAUGCCUCGGGCGCAGGAGGCGAUGAAGGGCGUGGCAAGCUGCGAAAAGCCACGGGGAGCCGCAAGCAGGCGUUGAUCCGUGGAUUCCCGAAUGGGGGAACCCGGCCAGGGUAAUACCUGGUCAUCCGCUGGGUUAAUACCCGGUGGAGGCGAACCCGGGGAAGUGAAACAUCUCAGUACCCGGAGGAGAAGAAAUCAAACGAGAUUCCCUGAGUAGCGGCGAGCGAAAGGGGAGGAGCCCAAACCGGAUGGGUGUAGAAGCCCCUAGGCGUUGCCCAUCCGGGGUAGAGGGGGCACACUGGAGGAGGCUAGGGACUCCUCGGGGAGUGACAAAUCCCGCCAGUUAGCCGAAGGCACCUGGAAAGGUCCGCCGUAGAGGGUGAGAGCCCCGUAGGCGAAAGCUGGAGGGACUCCCUGGGUGUGCUACCCAAGUAGCACGGGGCACGAGGAAUCCCGUGUGAAUCAGGGGGGACCACCCUCCAAGGCUAAAUACUCCCUGCGCACCGAUAGAGCAUGAGUACCGUGAGGGAAAGGUGAAAAGAACCCCGGGAGGGGAGUGAAAUAGAGCCUGAAACCGCUGGCCUACAAGCAGUCGGAGCCUGCGCGAUAGCGUGGGUGACGGCGUGCCUUUUGCAUAAUGAGCCCGGGAGUUGUCGUCAGUGGCGAGGCUAAGCCGAAUAGGCGGAGCCGAAGCGAAAGCGAGUCUGAAAGGGCGCAGAGUCGCUGGCGGCAGACCCGAAGCGGGACGAGCUACCCAUGGCCAGGGUGAAGGCGGGGUAACACCCGCUGGAGGCCUGAACCGGUGGAGGGUGAAAACUCCUCGGAUGAGCUGUGGGUAGGAGUGAAAAGCUAAUCGAGUCCCGUGAUAGCUGGUUCUCCCCGAAAUGUAUUGAGGUACAGCCUCAGGGGUUAUCUGGCGGGGGUAGAGCACUGUUGGGGCUAGGGGGCUUACCGGCCUACCGAACCCCGGCAAACUCCGAAUACCGUCAGAUGGACCCUGGGAGUGAGCCGCUGGGUGAUAAAGUCCAGCGACGAGAGGGGAACAACCCAGACCGCCAGCUAAGGUCCCGAAGUACUGGCUAAGUGGUAAAGGAGGUGGCCCUGCUUAGACAACCAGGAUGUUGGCUUAGAAGCAGCCAUCAUUUAAAGAGUGCGUAACAGCUCACUGGUCGAGCGGGGCUGCGCCGAAAAUACCACGGGGCUUAAGCCAGUCGCCGAAGCUGCGGACUCAUGCUGUUGGAGGCAUGAGUGGUAGGGGAGCACUCUGACCGCGCAGAAGGGUGACCUGUGAGGGCACCUGGAGUGGUCGGAGGAGAGAAUCCGGGCACGAGUAGCGAUAAAGAGGGUGAGAAUCCCUCUCGCCGUAAGCCCAAGGUUUCCUGGGGAAGGGUCGUCCGCCCAGGGUUAGCCGGACCCUAAGGCGAGGCCGGAAGGCGUAGCCGAUGGGAAGAGGGGUCAACAAUCCCCCGCCACCUGAGUGGAGGCCAAGGGGUGACGCAGGAGGGAAGGGCGCCGGGGCCGUGAAUGGCAGGCCCUCCAAACCCGUAGCCCGGAGAGGGGGCGAGGCAAAUCCCGUCCCUGAGGGUGAGGGGGAGUAAGUAACCGGGAGCGUGAGCUUUCGGGAAGGUGCUCGGACCACACUGCCGAGAAAUAGCCUCGUGGCUGAAGAAGCUCAGGUGACCGUACCGCAAACCGACACAGGUGGGCGGGCAGAGAAUGCUCAGGCGCGUGGGGUAACCCUGGCUAAGGAACUCGGCAAAAUGGCCCCGUAACUUCGGGAGAAGGGGUGCCCACGCUGGUGAAGGCCCAUAGCGGCUGGAGCUGGUGUGGGUUGCAGGGAAUCGGCGGUGGCGACUGUUUACCAAAAACACAGGACUCUGCUAAGUCGUAAGACGACGUAUAGGGUCUGACGCCUGCCCGGUGCCGGAAGGUGAAGGGUCCGGGUUAGGGGGUUGACCCCGAAGCUCGGACUUGAAGCCCCGGUAAACGGCGGCCGUAACUAUAACGGUCCUAAGGUAGCGAAAUUCCUUGUCGGGUAAGUUCCGACCUGCAUGAAUGGCGUAACGACUGCCGCACUGUCUCGGCCAGGGUCCCAGCGAAACUGUAGUCUCGGUGAAGAUGCCGGGUACCCGCGGUGGGACGGAAAGACCCCGUGAAGCUUUACUGCAGCUUGGCAUUGCACUUCGGUGCAGGAUGUGCAGGAUAGGUGGGAGGCAGGGAAGCCUGGGCGCCAGCCCGGGUGGAGCCGACCUUGAGAUACCACCCUUCCUGCAUCGGGGUGCUAACCUGGUGGGGUGAUCCUCCACAGGGACAGUGCCUGGUGGGCAGUUUGACUGGGGCGGUCGCCUCCUGAAAGGUAACGGAGGCGUCCAAAGGUACCCUCAGGCGGAUUGGAAACCCGCCGUUGAGUGCAAGGGCAGAAGGGUGCUUGACUGCGAGGCCGACGGGCCGAGCAGGGACGAAAGUCGGGCCUAGUGAUCCGGCGGUGCCGAGUGGAAGGGCCGUCGCUCAACGGAUAAAAGUUACUCCGGGGAUAACAGGCUGAUCGCUCCCAAGAGUUCACAUCGACGGAGCGGUUUGGCACCUCGAUGUCGGCUCAUCCCAUCCUGGGGCUGGAGAAGGUCCCAAGGGUCGGGCUGUUCGCCCGUUAAAGGGGUACGUGAGCUGGGUUCAGAACGUCGUGAGACAGUUCGGUCCCUAUCCACCGUGGGCGUAGGAGGCUUGAGAGGAGCUGCCCCUAGUACGAGAGGACCGGGGUGGACGCACCACUGGUGGACCGGUUGUGGCAGGCCUGCCGCACAGCCGGGUAGCCAUGUGCGGAAGGGAUAACCGCUGAAAGCAUCUAAGCGGGAAGCCCACCUCAAGAUAAGGCCUCCCGAGACAGGGGAGACCCUGUCCCAGAAGGGUCCAGGGAGACUACCUGGUAGAUAGGCCGGAGGUGGAAGCCCAGCAAUGGGUGGAGCUGACCGGUACUAAUCGCCCGAGCGGCUUGGCCACAGU
rnacentral:rRNA from 1 species